UAGUCUUUUAAUUGAGGACUGGAAUGAAAGAGUAAACCAAAAGAAUUUUUUUAAAGUUAAGAAAAUGAAUUUUACUUUUUAGUAAGAAGGCUAAAAUGAAUCUUUCAGACAAGAAGACCCUAUAAAACUUUAUAUUUUUCAGUUAGUAAAGAUAAUUGAGAGAUAUUUCGCUGGGGCGGCGAGAGAAAACUCUUCUCUUAUAGGAAAAAACAAUUCUUGUUUAAAUACCUAGAAGUUCUAAAAAAGAAAUAAGUUACUUUAGGGAUAACAGCUUAAUUUACUUUUAAAGCUCUAAUUGACAAGUAAGUUUAUGACCUCGAUGUUGAAUUAAAAUACCUUUUUUGUGCAAAAGCUUUAAUAAGGGGGUCUGUNCGCACCUUUAANUGNUC
rnacentral:rRNA from 1 species